rnacentral:rRNA from 1 species
AUUGAACGCUGGCGGCGUGCUUAACACAUGCAAGUCGAUCGGUAACAGGUGUAGCAAUACAUGCUGACGAGAGGCGGACGGGUGAGUAAUGCUUGGGAAUCUGCCUAUUAGUGGGGGACAACCCGGGGAAACUCGGGCUAAUACCGCAUACGCUCUACGGAGGAAAGCCGGGGACCGCAAGGCCUGGCGCUAAUAGAUGAGCCCAAGUCGGAUUAGCUAGUUGGUAGGGAACGGCCUACCAAGGCGACAAUCCGUAGCUGGUCUGAGAGGACGACCAGCCACACCGGAACUGAGACACGGUCCGGACUCCUACGGGAGGCAGCAGUGGGGAAUAUUGGACAAGUGGGGCAACCCUGAUCCAGCGACGCCGCGUGGGUGAAGAAGGCCUGCGGGUUGUAAAGCCCUUUCGGUGGGGAAGAAAAGUCUCGACCUAAUACGUCGGGACCUUGACGUAACCCACUAAAGAAGCACCGGCUAACUCUGUGCCAGCAG